CAGCCAGAUAGACCAGCAAAAUAUUGUUUUGAGAACAGGUGUUAAUCAUCUGCUUCCGGAAGAAAUCGGAAGAUUUCUUUGUUUUUGCAUAGGUGGCCGGGACGGCGGUCCAGCGAAGGGCUAGGUAUUAUAUGAAAUAUGUAUAAUACCAUUUCUGCCAAAGGCCAAUGUGUUGCCUUCUGUUUGGUACCUAUUGUUUGGAUCUGCUUCUACGAAGCAUGAUUCGGUGCUAUCACUGGAUUUCCUGAUCAGCUGUG
rnacentral:lncRNA from 1 species